ACGUAGGGGGCGAGCGUUAUUCGGAAUUACUGGGUGUAAAGGGUAUGUAGGCGGCCCUUCAAGUCGCGUGUCAAAGUCCAGUGCUCAACGCUGGGUGUGCGCGCGAUACUGACGGGCUUGAGGGCUGGAGAGGUGAGCGGAAUUCCCGGUGUAGUGGUAAAAUACGUAGAUAUCGGGAGAAACAACAACGGCGCAGGCGGCACACUAGACUGUUUCUGACGCUAGGAUUCGAAAGUGUGGGGACCAACCAG
rnacentral:rRNA from 1 species